UGACCGUAAGGACAUGUGGACAGUAUGGGAGUGAGAAUGUUGGCAUGAGUAGCGAGAUGUGGGUGAGAAUCCCACAGGCCGUAAACCCAAGGUUUCCAGGGGAAGGUUCGUCCGCCCUGGGUUAGUCGGGACCUAAGCUGAGGCCGAAAGGCGUAGGUGAUGGACAACAGGUUGAUAUUCCUGUACUACCGAUAACCGUUUGAGAGAAGGGAUGACACAGUAGGAUAAGCUAAGCACACUGUUGGUUAUGUGUGCCCAAGCAUUGAGGCAGUCAAAGUAGGCAAAUCCGCUUUGAUAAUGCUGGGAUGUGAUGGGGAGCGAAAUUUAGUAGCGAAGUAGCUGAUUUCACACUGUCAAGAAAAGUCUCUAUCGAGGUUAAAGGUACCCGUACCGCAAACCGACACAGGUGGGUGAGGAGAGUAUCCUAAGGCCAGCGAGAGAACUGUUGUUAAGGAACUCGGCAAAAUGACCCCGUAACUUAGGGAUAAGGGGUGCCACCAUCAGGUGGCCGCAGAGAAUAGGCCCAAGCGACUGUUUACCAAAAACAUAGGUUUCUGCUAAGUCGCAAGACGAUGUAUAGGAGCUGACGCCUGCCCGGUGCUGGAAGGUUAAGGGGAUCUGUUAGAGCAAUCGAAGCAGUGAACUUAAGCCCCAGUAAACGGCGGCCGUAACUAUAACGGUCCUAAGGUAGCGAAAUUCCUUGUCGGGUAAGUUCCGACCCGCACGAAAGGCGUAACGAUUUGGGCACUGUCUCAACAACAGACUCGGUGAAAUUGUAAUUCCGGUGAAGAUGCCGGAUACCUGCGACAGGACGGAAAGACCCCAUGGAGCUUUACUGUAGCUUGACAUUGGGUCUUGGUACUACAUGUACAGGAUAGGUGGGAGGCUUUGAAACCAGGACGCCAGUUUUGGCGGAGCCAUCCUUGGGAUACCACCCUUGUAGUACUGGGACUCUAACCAUAGGCCAUGAAUCUGGUCUUGGGACACUGUCAGGUGGGCAGUUUGACUGGGGCGGUCGCCUCCCAAAAGGUAACGGAGGCGCUCAAAGGUUCUCUCAGUACGGUCGGAAAU
rnacentral:rRNA from 1 species